GCCUACGGGGGGCAGCAGUGAGGAAUAUUGGUCAAUGGUCGGGAGACUGAACCAGCCAAGCCGCGUGAGGGAUGAAGGUACAGAGUAUCGUAAACCUCUUUUGUCAGGGAACAAAGGCGGGGACGUGUCCCCGGAUGAGUGUACCUGAAGAAAAAGCAUCGGCUAACUCCGUGCCAGCAGCCGCGGUAAUACGUAGGGGGCAAGCGUUAUCCGGAAUUACUGGGUGUAAAGGGAGCGUAGACGGUUAAGUAAGUCUGGAGUGAAAGGCCGGGGCCCAACCCCGGGACUGCUCUGGAAACUAUUUA
rnacentral:rRNA from 1 species